GUUCCCGUAGUUGAAUUCAAUUGUGGGUUUUCAACCCGCCGGUCCUGGUUAAAAUCCGGGCGGGAAUA
rnacentral:tRNA from 1 species